UACGAAGGGGGCUAGCGUUGCUCGGAAUCACUGGGCGUAAAGCGCACGUAGGCGGAUUGCUAAGUCAGGGGUGAAAUCCUGGAGCUCAACUCCAGAACUGCCUUUGAUACUGGUGAUCUUGAGUCCGGGAGAGGUGAGUGGAACUGCGAGUGUAGAGGUGAAAUUCGUAGAUAUUCGCAAGAACACCAGUGGCGAAGGCGGCUAUCUGGACAGAGUCUGACGCUGAGGCGCGAAAAGCUAGGGGAGCAAACAGG
rnacentral:rRNA from 1 species